rnacentral:rRNA from 1 species
UACGAAGGGGGCUAGCGUUGCUCGGAAUUACUGGGCGUAAAGCGCACGUAGGCGGCUUUCUAAGUCGGGGGUGAAAUCCUGGAGCUCAACUCCAGAACUGCCUUCGAUACUGGAGAGCUCGAGUCCGGGAGAGGUGAGUGGAACUGCGGGUGUAGAGGUGAAAUUCGUAGAUAUUCGCAAGAACACCAGUGGCGAAGGCGGCUCACUGGCCCGGUACUGACGCUGAGGUGCGAAAGCGUGGGGAGCAAACAGG